ensembl:lncRNA
AUCCCGCUUGGAGUUCAUGGAGUUCUGUGAUUAUUAUCACUAUUAUUACUUUAACAGGAAAUGUUGCAGAGAUUAAAUAAAUAAAUAAAUAAAUAAAUAAAUAAAUGUGGCUUGGAAAAUGUUUGAUUCGGUGAGAAGACUUUGAUGGUAAAAAUGUGUGUAAUCAGGUUUAUUUUCCAUAAUAAAUAAGAAGCAGGAAUAGUGAACUCUCAGGAGAAGAAGGAGAAGAAGAAGAAGAAGAGGGGGCACAUCAGCGCACCUUUCCCCAGGACAGUCGAGUCGAGCUGAGCGUGAUGAAACAGGUGAAGUCUCUCAGGAGACCGGGAGCGUGACGUGACAGAGAGUGAGAGCUAUAAAGCAGGGGUGGUGAAGGCUGUAACACGGAUGCUCGUCUUCAGCAGGACCGACCUCAGAGCAGCAUGCGCUAAAUUAUAAAGUGAUGAAUAGCGUGUGAGCAUGAGGACCAUGAGGACCAUGAGGACCAUGAGGACCAUGAGGAGCUGCGUGUUACACUUACUGUUCCUGCUGCUGCUCUCCUGCAAAACCAGCUUCAGCAGCUUCACUGUCCAGGACAGUUCAGGACGAGAGAUGAGGCAGUAUAAUGAAGUGGAAGACGACAGUUUCAUUGGUCUGAUGGGUAAAAGGAGUUCCGAUCUGACUGCAGAGCUGCCACGGAGACGAGACGUCAGCGACGUGUUUGUCGGUCUGUUCGGGCGCAGAGAUGUCGACUCGGGUGAGUCGGAUAUCGCUAAAGGCCUCGCUGCGUGGAGACGAGAGAGACGGGGCGGAGUCUUCUCAAACAACCGAAGACUCAGAUAUCGUCGUCCCACCUGAAGCGCCGCCUUAACGACGACGUGGAAUUCGAGAGCGACGGUUCUGAUCUCUCCGCCUGGAGUUUACGUUUUUUAUUUUUCACGUGAAGAUUUAAAUGGAGUUUAUUUUACAUCUGAUUUUUCUUCUGAAGGUUUUUUUUUUUUUUUUUUUAAAUCUAGUGCAACAUAACUGAAAAAUAUCAGUAUUACGAGGUCAUAAGGUCAAUACAUCAUUUCAUCUCUACAGGUCUAGGUAGGAUCCCUUACAGGCUUGCGGGUUCAAAAAAGUAUUGGCACCCACCCCAUAAAUAAAUAUAAGCCAAAAAAAACAUAACUAUAGAAUAAACGCGAGACACGGUGACUUUUCCACUCAAACGCUUACAUAAUGGGAUUUUUAUAUGGAAAAAAAAAAAAUUUGUUGCAAAAUUAUUGGCACCCCAACCAAAAAAUGUACAGCAAUCAUCAGUCUUUGAAAAAACACAUAGUAGUUGUUAUAUUUAAAUUGGUCUGAGUCCACACUCACUCAUUUCCUGCUAAUAGAGAAGUAUAACAAAAAUUAACUCAGUCAUCCAUCAGCAUGAAGAAAAAAACAAACAAAGCUACAGGUUUCAAUAUAAAUUACAGAGAGUUAUUGGUCUGCACAAUAAACGCGGUAAUAGACAUAAUAAAAAGAAAACGUUAUAAAUAUAGAACAGUUUAAAAUUAGCCACGGAUUGGGUCUAUGAUCCGUCAAGUCCCAGACCCCAAAACAGGGUUGCCUCUGCAAGUAGGUUAAGACUUGACCAUAGAUGGUUCUUUCAACAAGUCGAUGAUCCAAGGAACACUUCAAUCAAAACAGAAAAGGUUGUAGAACACAAUUGUGCGAACUCAGUCUCCGGGUUCAAAUCCUGUGGAAAACCUGUGGCGGGAUUUAAAAAUGACGGUCACCAAGAACAAACCUGAGAGUAUAACUAAACUUAAAGUGGAUGCCUGGAGAGCGUUCCAAGAUCCUCUCCAAUCUUGCUCGACAGCUAUGGUCACCAACGCUUGAAUGGGUGGAGUGCCAAUAGUUUUGCACUCAGCAAACUCUAUUGGGAAAAAAUUGGACUCUCUAAGAAGAAAACUUUAUUCUGAUGUUAAAAAUUUUAAAACAAAAAGAUACAGCAUCCACACAUAUGGAUACGGACAAUUUUAAAUGAAGGGUGCCAAUACUUAUUAAGGAAGGGGAGUUAUAAACAAAGUUACUGUUAAACGACUGGUUAAAUACGCGAUCGAUAAACAUUGGGGUUUUUUUCCAUCCUCAAAAUAUAAGAAACUUCUUAGGGAGUGCAAAACUCCCUGUUUGCAGAAGUAUUGGCGACCCACCUGUUAAAAUUCAGUGAAGCCCUAGAACGUGAGAACGGCGCUUCUCUACCUUAUUCAGA